rnacentral:lncRNA from 1 species
UUCAAGACCCAAGGCUUACCUGCACAGCCACAAGUCAUUAUGGGCUCUGGCUUGGUUAGACAACGCGGCGACUCUGGACAGGCGGUGCUAGCAGAUGUAGAAGAACGGUAGGAUUGGAUGGGCACUGACAAGGAUUCAGAGGGACCCGUUGAAAGACCAUGUUUUGAUCAUCCGGUCUUCAAACACCCUGAAGUGCGAGGACAUACUCGGAGGCGAUCAAAUCUCGUGGGGAACGUGUG